GAUGAACGCUGGCGGCGUGCCUAAUACAUGCAAGUCGAGCGAACGGACGAGAAGCUUGCUUCUCUGAUGUUAGCGGCGGACGGGUGAGUAACACGUGGAUAACCUACCUAUAAGACUGGGAUAACUUCGGGAAACCGUAGCUAAUACCGGAUAAUAUUUUGAACCGCAUGGUUCAAAAGUGAAAGACGGUCUUGCUGCCACUUAUAGAUGGAUCCGCGCUGCAUUAGCUAGUUGGUAAGGUAACGGCUUACCAAGGCAACGAUGCAUAGCCGACCUGAGAGGGUGAUCGGCCACACUGGAACUGAGACACGGUCCAGACUCCUACGGGAGGCAGCAGUAGGGAAUCUUCCGCAAUGGGCGAAAGCCUGACGGAGCAACGCCGCGUGAGUGAUGAUGGUCUUCGGAUCGUAAAACUCUGUUAUUAGGGAAGAACAUAUGUGUAAGUAACUGUGCACAUCUUGACGGUACCUAAUCAGAAAGCCACGGCUAACUACGUG
rnacentral:rRNA from 1 species